rnacentral:rRNA from 1 species
UACAGAGGUCUCAAGCGUUUGUUCGGAUUCAUUGGGCGUAAAGGGUGCGUAGGCGGCGCGGUGAGUCGGAUGUGAAAUCUCGGAGCUUAACUCCGAAACUGCAUUCGAUACUGCCGUGCUUGAGGACUGGAGAGGAGACUGGAAUUUACGGUGUAGCGGUGAAAUGCGUAGAUAUUCGCAAGAACACCAGUGGCGAAGGCGGCUCACUGGCCCGAUACUGACGCUGGAGGCACGAAAGCGUGGGGAGCAAACAGG